rnacentral:rRNA from 1 species
AUUGAACGCUAGCUACAGGCUUAACACAUGCAAGUCGCAGGACUGGCGCACGGGUGAGUAACGCGUAUCCAACCUUCCCAUAACUACGGGAUAACCCGUUGAAAGACGGCCUAAUACCGUAUGAUUAUGGAUGGGGAUGCGUCUGAUUCGCUUGUUGGCGGGGUAACGGCCCAACAAGGCGACGAUCAGUAGGGGUUGUGAGAGGAAGGUCCCCCAGAUUGGAACUGAGACACGGUACAAACUCAUACGGGAGGAAGAAGUGCGGAAUAUUGGUCAAUGGGCGAGAGCCUGAACCAGCCACGUAGCGUGCAGGAUGACGGCCUAUGGGUUGUAAACUGCUCGUAGGUGGGGAUAGGUACCACAUGAAUAAGGACCGGCUAAUUCCGUGCCAGCAGCCGCGGUAAUAC